GCCAGACAUAUUUCAAGAUAAUGAAUGAGGUCUCACUGAUAAAACCCCACUGCCAGAUCAACUGCCCUCUCUCACAUGUGAACCUGGCACCUGCUUAUCUCAAGAUCUGUCAGUUAUUAUACACGUCGAGAAGACACAAUUGAUAAUAUUCCCCAUUCUCUUCGACAGCAACAGAUCUUCUCUACGAUGGCGUUCAAAGUGAUUUUGGUAAUUUUUCUACUCACCUUGUCAGGCAUCAGUACUGCAACUUCCGAAGAGAAGGUGCUCAGUGCCCGUGGUGUCAGCUGCAACGUGAUGGGAAACAUGGGUUGCUACGUGCACUGUGUCCGCCUGGGACACAGAAGAGGGGGCAGAUGUAACGCUGCCAAAUCGUGCAUUUGUCAUCUUUAAACAACAUCAACAACAACAACAAGUGAUGCAAUAAAGCCCAAACAACAUUAAAAUAAUCAAAAUGAAAAGUA